GACAGAGGGUGCAAACGUUGUUCGGAAUUACUGGGCGUAAAGCGUGUGUAGGCGGCCAUUCAAGUCGGAUGUGAAAGCCCCGGGCUCGACCCGGGAAGUGCACCCGAAACUGGAUGGCUUGAGUAUCGGAGAGGUUGGUGGAAUUCUCGGUGUAGAGGUGAAAUUCGUAGAUAUCGAGAGGAACACCGGUGGCGAAGGCGGCCAACUGGACGAAUACUGACGCUGAGACACGAAAGCGUGGGGAGCAAACAGG
rnacentral:rRNA from 1 species